UACGUAGGGGCAAGCGUUGUCCGGAUUUAUUGGGCGUAAAGAGCGUGUAGGCGGCUUUACAGGUCCGUUGUGAAAACUCGAGGCUCAACCUCGAGACGCCGGUGGAAACCGUAAGGCUAGAGUCCGGAAGAGGAGAGUGGAAUUCCUGGUGUAGCGGUGAAUGCGCAGAUAUCAGGAGGAACACCCGUGGCGAAAGCGGCUCUCUGGGACGGUACUGACGCUGAGACGCGAAAGCGUGGGGAGCAAACAGG
rnacentral:rRNA from 1 species